rnacentral:rRNA from 1 species
UAGGUGGCUAGCGUUGUCCGGAUUUACUGGGCGUCAAGAGCUCGCAGGCGGUCGUUCAAGUCGAGUGUGAAAGCCCCCGGCUCAACUGGGGAGGGUCACUCGAUACUGAUCGACUCGAAGGCAGGAGAGGGAAGCGGAAUUCCCGGUGUAGUGGUGAAAUGCGUAGAUAUCGGGAGGAACACCAGUGGCGAAGGCGGCUUUCUGGCCUGCUCUUGACGCUGAGGCGCGAAAGCUAGGGUAGCAAACGGG